CAUUUCUUCAUUCAUUUAGUACAGUAUCAUUAAACGUGCCUGUUCUUUUAAGCCUGUUGUACAAUAAUUAUUAUCAUAAUUAAUGUUAAUUCUUAAUUAUUUUAAUAAUAAAUAAUUCUGUUUGAGACUUAAUUGAAUUGUUAAGAAUUUCCAGUAAUUUACUUUUCGUUCAUUCUCAUAAAUGAUACAGGAUAAUAUUCUGUAUGUUUAUUGUGCAAAAUAUGACAUGGACACACAUGGACCACUAACACAUUAAAGCAACAUUAUGUAUGUGGUUUCUGGGUGAUUUGGCAUACCCACCGUAUCAGUGUACCACUGUCGUAAAUAAGGACAGCUGUACACACGCAUUUUUUUUUUCCAUUAUCAAAAACGUUAAUGUUACGUCCACUGAGGCUGCCCAGCUCCGACUCGACUCAGCAACCGACGCAAAACCACUUACAGUAAUGUUACCGAUGUGUGUUUUCUAGUGAUUUCGCUAACAUCAACUUGAGAUUAUUAGCCUCAGCCACAACAGGUGGAGAGGUGUUGAGCCAGAGCCGGGGCCGGUCAUUCGGGCAAACAUAACAGGGCUCAGCAGCCUCUACAUUUAACUAAUGUCAGAGGCGAGAGGAACCAAGAUGUUGAUGGAGAAAGCUAAGAUGUGAAAGAGAGUGACCAAGAAAAGACCAGGGGCCCGUUCUUCGUAUGUUGCUUAAAACAUCCGAGAUGAAAUGAGACAUCCAAGAUAAUAUCAUCGGCCUAAUUAUGAUCUGGCUAAUUGGGUUCUUCGAACACACCUGCCGGUUAUGAUUAGUACAGCUAGAUUGAGUUAUCGGAGAUAAUUGCGCGUUCAUGCACUGGUUUAAAAGGGGAUUUGUAUCAAUAGUAGAAACAUUGAUCAGCAACUUUCUACUUCUACUGUUUAGUCUCUUUUACCAAAAUAAAUGUUAAAUUAUGUGUUUGUCUGUUUAUAACAGCAACCAAGAAAAAGGCAGAGCAGAAAAAAACAGGUGGUGGUCCUGCACCCCCACAUUAUACCUUGGCAGAAGAGCUGGCCCUUGGUUUAAAUGUGAACCGACCCAUUGUGAAGGGCAUCCCUGGGGGCAGCUCUUCCUUAGACCAAAAGCCAGGGACCAGUUGCAACACCUUCAUUACUGGACAGUGAAGAAACCCUCUCAGAUGACUGUCCUUUUGGAGGAAGUACUUGUAAGUGCAUAAAUAACAGCUUAAUUUAUAGUUGUGUACAUAUAAUUUCUGACUGCAAUAUGAGUUGCAGGAGGAAAGGCCAGACAGGCCUACAGACAGGCCUACAGCACAAAGUGAUACAGAGGCAAAAGAUGACCAUCACUGGCUUUUCUUGACAAAGAAUAAUUGAAAUAAAAAUCAAGGAACUAA